GCUGGCCUCCUAUGUUCCUAACGGUCCUCAUCCGCGAGGGUGGGGAAUCAACCGCUAGGAUCGUUUACUUUGAGGAAAUUAGAGUGUUCAAAGCAGGCGUAACUCGCCUCCGAAUACGUUAGCAUGGGAUAAUGGAAUACGACUUCGGUCUUGUUUCGUUGGUUUCGCUUGGCUGAAGUAAUGAUUGAUAGGGACAGUUGGGGGCAUUAGUAUUUAGUUGUCAGAGGUGAAAUUCUAGGAUUUACUAAAGACUGACCAAUGCGAAAGCAUUUGCCAAGGAUGUUUUCAUUAAUCAAGAACGAAAGUAGGGGGAUCGAAGACGAUCAGAUACCGUCGUAGUCUCUACCGUAAACUAUGCCGACCAGGGAUCCGGAGAGUUUGCAUGGAUGACUCCCCGGGCACCUUGUGAGAAAUCAUAAGUGUUUGGGUUUUGGGGGGAGUAUGGUCGCAAGGCUGAAACUUAAAGGAAUUGACGGAAGGGCACCACCAGGAGUGGAACCUGCGGCUUAAUUUGACUCAACACGGGGAAACUUACGAGGUCAGGACACUGUGAGGAUUGACAGAUUGAAAGCUCUUUCUUGAUUCAGUGGGUGGUGGUGCAUGGCCGUUCUUAGUUGGUGGAGUGAUUUGUCUGGUUAAUUCCGUUAACGAACGAGACCUUAACCUG
rnacentral:rRNA from 1 species